rnacentral:rRNA from 1 species
UCGACGGCAGCACGGGAGCUUGCUCCUGGUGGCGAGUGGCGAACGGGUGAGUAAUACAUAGGAACAUACCCAGUAAUGGGGGAUAACGCCGAGAAAUCGGUGCUAAUACCGCAUACGCCCUACGGGGGAAAGCGGGGGAUCUUCGGACCUCGCGUUAUUGGAUUGGCCUAUGUCUGAUUAGCUAGUUGGUGAGGUAAAGGCUCACCAAGGCGACGAUCAGUAGCUGGUCUGAGAGGAUGAUCAGCCACACUGGAACUGAGACACGGUCCAGACUCCUACGGGAGGCAGCAGUGGGGAAUUUUGGACAAUGGGCGAAAGCCUGAUCCAGCCAUUCCGCGUGAGUGAAGAAGGCCUUCGGGUUGUAAAGCUCUUUCGGCAGGAACGAAAUGGUUGCGGUUAAUAACCGCGAUUUCUGACGGUACCUGAAGAAGAAGCACCGGCUAACUACGUGCCAGCAGCCGCGGUAAUACGUAGGGUGCGAGCGUUAAUCGGAAUUACUGGGCGUAAAGCGUGCGCAGGCGGUUUUGUAAGUCAGAUGUGAAAGCCCCGGGCUUAACCUGGGAAUGGCGUUUGAAACUGCAAGGCUAGAGUGUGUCAGAGGGGGGUAGAAUUCCACGUGUAGCAGUGAAAUGCGUAGAGAUGUGGAGGAAUACCGAUGGCGAAGGCAGCCCCCUGGGAUAACACUGACGCUCAUGCACGAAAGCGUGGGGAGCAAACAGGA